rnacentral:rRNA from 1 species
AACGGGUGAGUAACGCGUAGGUAACCUGCCUGGUAGCGGGGGAUAACUAUUGGAAACGAUAGCUAAUACCGCAUGAUAUUGAUUAUUGCAUGAUAGUCAAUUAAAAGGUGCAAUUGCAUCACUACCAGAUGGACCUGCGUUGUAUUAGCUAGUUGGUGAGGUAACGGCUCACCAAGGCAACGAUACAUAGCCGACCUGAGAGGGUGAUCGGCCACACUGGGACUGAGACACGGCCCAGACUCCUACGGGAGGCAGCAGUAGGGAAUCUUCGGCAAUGGACGGAAGUCUGACCGAGCAACGCCGCGUGAGUGAAGAAGGUUUUCGGAUCGUAAAGCUCUGUUGUAAGAGAAGAACGAGUGUGAGAGUGGAAAGUUCACA